rnacentral:ncRNA from 3 species
UCUUUGGUGAUUUUAGCUGUAUGC